CACACUGCUGUCAGAACCGUCAGAACUCCUCAGAACCACACAGUGAAACUCUCGUCACGGUUAUAUUGGAUUAUAAUUAAUAUAGAAUUAAACUACGUGACAGAAGUUGCAGAUUGUGAAUAAAUCCGACUCAGUAUUAAAUGUAAGAGAGUUGAUGUUGGACCGUGAAGAGAAAACAGCUGAGCAGAGGUUCUGCAGAGUUUCGUCCGUGUGAAGUGCGAACGUGGUUUUAUCAGGAAGAGAAACAGGAAGUUGUGCCUCGUCAGAGCAGCUGUUAACAGAAACUGUGUCAGGAAGCAGGAAGUGGCAGCAGUGGUCGUUUCUCAAGAACAACUGAACAGUUUAUCUUCUGAGUGAUUGACAGGUGGAGCAGCUGCAGAGAAGAAGAAGAAGAGAAGAGUUCAACGAUGAUUCAAACUGGAACGUGAGUCAGUUGAGCUGAGACGACAUCAAACUAACAAACGAGGGCGUUACAAUAACAAAAGGUGACUAUGAAUAUCGCACGUGCGCUAUGUCUUCACCCGCCGCGCCCCGCCCACACUGAUGAUGCUGCUGACGCUGAAUCCAGGAACUCAAGAAACGUCCCUGUGAAAGCCCGCUGCCAUGGCGACCUGAGUGACGGACGGAGGAGGGAAGGAGGUGAUGAGGGAGGAGGAGCAAGGACAACGAUACCACAAUAUUAAUUUUUACAGACAAAAAAAGACAAAAACUACGGCUGCUGAAUAAAAGAUGUAUAUGACAAAA